UACGUAGGGACCGAGCGUUGUCCGGAUUCAUUGGGCGUAAAGAGCUCGUAGGCGGCUGUUCAAGUCGAACGUGAAAACUCGGAGCUCAACUCCGAGCCUGCGUUCGAUACUGGACGGCUAGAGUCUGGUAGGGGAUCUGGAAUUCCUGGUGUAGCGGUGGAAUGCGCAGAUAUCAGGAGGAACACCAAUGGCGAAGGCAGCUCUCUGGUACAUGAUUGACGCUGAGACGCGAAAGCGUGGGGAGCGAACAGG
rnacentral:rRNA from 1 species